CAUCCACCCACCACUCCCCAGGCAGGGUAGGGCCCUCAACGAGGGCUCUGCAAAGUCCACCAAGUCUUCCUAUGCUGGUCCUGGGCCCUUCCCCAUGUGUCCAGGGCCAUAGUGUAACCCUUCGUAUGGGAUGGGCUCUCAAAGUCCCUUCUUGCACCAGGGAAAAAUACUAAUCCACCACCAGAGGCUCCCUGGAGUGCAGAGGCCUCCUUAUUGACAUCCAUGUUCAGGGGUCUGGAUCAGUCUUGUACUGGCCUCCUGAACAGCAUCUGGGGUCGAUGUGCUCUCCCUUGUUCAGGUCAACUGUUCCUGUGGGUUUCUCCAACCUAGUACAGACCCCUUCGUUCUUCAUUCCUCCCUCUCUUCAACUAAAUUCCCGAUUUCGGCUCAUUGUAUAUCUGUGGAUGUCUGUCUCUGUUUCCAUCGGCCACUGGAUGAGGGCUCUAGGAUGGCAUAAAGAGAAGUCAUCAAUCUCAUUUUAGGGGGAGGGUUUUUAGGUUAUCCUCUCCACCGUUGCCUGGAUUGUCAGAUCAUGUCAUCCUUGUAGGUCUCUGGAGAUCUCCCUGGUUCCAGAUCCCUUCUCGGGCCUAUAGUGGCUCCCUCUGAUAUCGUAUCUCUCAUCUUACUCUCUUUCCUCUAUUCUUCCCCCAACUCAAUGUUUCUGCCCCUCCGUUUCCUCUCCUCUUCUCCUCUUCUCUUACUCUUAUUGUAGCAGCUCCUUUCCUCCCCACCCUCAUGCCCCCAAUUAGUUCGGGAGUUCAUGCCACUUCCAUUCCUGGGGACCAUUUAUCCCUUAGAGUCCUUCAUGUUUGUGUACAGAAUUGUUAAGCAAAAGGAACCAGGAGAUAAGAUGUGGAAAAGUCUCAGCAUAACACACCAAAUACACACACCACACACACACACACACACACACACACACACAGAUAAAGCAUGCUGAGAAGAGAACCUUAGCAGUAGUCAGACUAGCCAUUUGCUGAAAAGAUUAGCAUAAAUGUGAAGCAUUUGCAUCUCAACGGAAGUCAGGAAGAGAGGUGUGAUUACCUGACAGGACAGCAGGCAGGCACCAAGGGGAACAGCAAAAGGAAAUGGAACAGAGGGUGGCUGAGAAUGUGCUGUUCUUAAAGGCAAGGGAAGGAAGACAACCCCCACCCCCACCCAAAAUGAUUCAGAGGUUAUUAGGGUCACAACUCUAGUUUCUACAGGGCAGAAGCCUCUGACAACACCCAUGGAACAGCACUGCUGAGGAGAGCCCUUUGCUACUCCAGAUGGCUGAGAGGGCAGAUCACUCAGCAGAAGAGGCUUGUUCUUGAGCCUUGAAAUUUCGUAGGAUUUGCCUGGACAGGUCUGACCUGCUUGGACCAAUUAGCUUUUAAAACAAUAUCCUUGGUUGUCCCCUUCACAACCAUCGGCAGUCCAUUCAAUCACUGUGUUUUAGAAGCACCAACUUGUUUGACUUCACGGUUCACAGCUGGAGAAGAAAUUUGUUUCAGAAUUAAUCACAUCACAAAUCUUAACCAUAUACCUGAUUAAAAGGAUAUUUAGAUGAGAUAUAGGGCUAUAGAGGUGAUAUAGAAAUCACUGAUUAGGAUGGUGAAAGGUUCAGGCAUUAUGCAUUUUCCAUGUCAGGAAGAUGUGAGCUGGCGGUGGGGAAGCAAGGGUGGAAUGUUACAUUUAUCUCCACCAAUUCAUAUGUUGAAAUCCAAACUCCCAGGGGGAUGGGAUUAGUUGGUGAGGACUUUCCAAGUACUUACAUGAGAACAGAACCUUCAAGAAAAGGAUUAGUACCCUUAUAGGAAGAGAUCUAAGAAAGCUCCUCUCUUCUCCAUGCUUUCCUCAUGUGAAGACUCAUUGAGAAGAUGGCCGGCUACAAGCCAGAAAGAAAGAGAGCCCUGACUAGAAACCAGGUCUACCAGUACCUUCAUCUCGGACCUCACUGCCUCUAGAAUUGUGAGAAUAAAAGUCUCCAGCCUAGGGUAUUUUGUUAGAGCAAUCCAAAUAGAGUGAGACAGUUUCUAUUGAAAUCUAUUCAGGGAUGUAGGAUUUGUAUGUAUGUACGUACGUACAUAUACUACAGGUACUAGGUAGCUGCCUUUCCCGGGCCACUUAUUAAGUCAUUCCACCAAAUGCUGAAGACCUUAAAUUUACAUCACAGAAAGACAUUUUCUGAGGUCUAGGCUAUCAAAUGUGACAGAAGAUCACAUCACCUGCUGGCUCUUUCUUAACUUUCAGUCAGCACAGAAGUUGAGGGCAUGGACUCUGGAGAUGGGACUGGACUGCCUAGGUUCUGCCCUGCCCCUGAAUCCUGGGAUCUAUGAAUACAUUGUUGUACCUCAACACCUUCAUCCCUAGAAUGGCAGAACAUGACCGUGUCUAAUACCUAGAUUCUAUGGGAGAACUUGAUGAGCUCAACAGACAUAAAGUAAAUGCAGUAAUACUUGUUCCACAGUAAGACGUCAUUAUAUUAGUAACUAACCUGCCCUGAGCUUGUCGUUGUGUUACCUUUGUCAUCAGUAUUGUCCCAUUCCAAGGCUUAUGCUCUCAACCCUGCAGUGCCGUCUUAAAGUACUGUGCAGUGGAGCCUUGAUUGAUCAGCAGCAGAAUGAGCAUCUCCCCUCCGUGUAGUCACUGUAGUCUGGAUGUAGUGCUUCUCCCCCUGUAACUCUGGGCUGUGGCAUAGGAAUGUGGUGCAGCAGCAGAGUGUUUGUCUAGUAGCUAGCAAGACCAAAGCCGUAGCUUCAUUCCCCAGACAACAAAACAAAACAAGGCAAUUGUGAGCUUGUGAGUCAG
ensembl:lncRNA